rnacentral:rRNA from 1 species
GACGAACGCUGGCGGCGUGCUUAACACAUGCAAGUCGAACGGAAAGGCCCUGCUUUUGUGGGGUGCUCGAGUGGCGAACGGGUGAGUAACACGUGAGUAACCUGCCCUUGACUUUGGGAUAACUUCAGGAAACUGGGGCUAAUACCGGAUAGGAGCUCCUGCUGCAUGGUGGGGGUUGGAAAGUUUCGGCGGUUGGGGAUGGACUCGCGGCUUAUCAGCUUGUUGGUGGGGUAGUGGCUUACCAAGGCUUUGACGGGUAGCCGGCAUGAGAGGGUGACCGGCCACAUUAGGACUGAGAUACGGCCCAGACUCCUACGGGAGGCAGAAGUGGGGAAUAGUGCACAAUGGGCGGAAGCCUGAUGCAGCAACGCCGCGUGCGGGAUGACGGCCUUCGGGUUGUAAACCGCUUUCGCCUGUGACGAAGCGUGAGUGACGGUAAUGGAUAAAGAAGCACCGGCUAACUACGUG